UUAAUUUUAAAAACAAAAUUGGAUGUCCCGAAGUUAAGUGAGCUAAUUAAUAUGUGCUUGUAGGCGAAAACAUGUUGCAAAAUUCAUUAAAUAUUAAUUAGGGGUGAAAGGCUUAUCACACUUAACGAUAACUUGAUGGUUUAGAAACGUACUAGUACACAGGCACUCUUAAAGUGAUAAGGCUUUAAAUGGAAAUUAAUUUAUGACAAUAAAUGAUGUCAUGUUUAAUCAUUAACAUUAUCAAAAAAUAUUAUUAAUUUAUAAUUAUUAUUUUUUUUUAUAAACCUAUAAAUGAAUUUCUCAUACGAUAGAAAAUGUUGGUAUUAGUAGCAAAGAGAUGCAAAUAAUGAACUCGGCAAUAAGCCUUUCAACUGUUUAUCAAAAACAUAGCUGCAUGAAUUUCUAUGCAGUAAUUUCUGCUCAAUGAAUGUUUAAAUAGCCGCAGUACCCUGACUGUGCUAAGGUAGCGCAAUCAAUUGACUUUUAAAUGAAGUCCAGUAUGAACGAAAUUAUGGGGGGCUUCUUUCUCAUUGGCAAUUUUUGAAUUUACUUAGUAAGUGCAAAUUCUUACAUAUAUAAAAUAGACGAGAAGACCCUAGAAAUUUUAAAAGGACAGUCUUUUUUGUUGGGGCAACAAAGUAGCAAUAAAUAAUCUACUAAAAUUUACAUGCAAUUAAUAUUUUGAUAGAUCAAAUUACUCUAGGGAUAACAGCAUAAUUAAUUAAACGUUUGUGACCUCGAUUUUUGGAAUUAAGGGAAAUUAGGCAUUUUUGAAAGA
rnacentral:rRNA from 1 species